CCUACGGGUGACAGCAGUGGGGAAUAUUGCACAAUGGGGGAAACCCUGAUGCAGCGACGCCGCGUGAGUGAAGAAGGAUUUCGGUGUGUAAAGCUCUUUCUGCAGGGAAGAGAAUGACUGUACGUGCGUAAGAAGCCCCGGCUAACUACGUGCCAGCAGCCGCGGUAAUACGUAGGGGGCAAGCGUUAUCCGGAUUUACUGGGUGUAAAGGGGGCGUAGACGGCGAAGAAAGUCUGAAGUGAAAGCCUGCGGCUCAACCGCGGAACUGCUUUGGAAACUUUUUUGCUGGAGUACCGGAGAGGUAAGCGGAAUUCCUAGUGUAGCGGUGAAAUGCGUAGAUAUUAGGAGGAACACCAGUGGCGAAGGCGGCUUACUGGACGGUAACUGACGUUGAGGCUCGAAAGCGUGGGGAGCAAACAGGAUUAGAUACCCUUGUAGUC
rnacentral:rRNA from 1 species